rnacentral:lncRNA from 1 species
CGGGAACCUAGCGGCGGGGAGGAAGCGCGGAGCUGUGUUUUGAAUUAAUGGGUUCAGCUUCAUUUUGAGUACAAGUGGGAGGCUAUUUUAGAAAAACCUUCCCAGGCCAGCCGGCACUGAUGUGGCAAACUCAGCCUCCGAGCAGACAGUCUCGAAAUAGAAACGUCUCCGCGUCUCGAUGGCGCACGCCUGGGCCUCCCCUUCAAAGAGCGCGGCCCCGCACGACCCUUUUGUCCCUAGGCCCCGCAGCCCUUUGUGAUGUGCCCGCCUCGCUCCCAACCGAGCUGGAUGGAGGCGUCCCAUCCGCAGCAGCUGAAAGGAGGUGCCCAGAGGGAGCGAGAUCCCCCGGAAACGUGAUAAGGGGAAGGAUGCGAGACGGCUGCGGUCGGUCGACAUGAGCGUCCAGCGCCUCGCUCCCCAGUGCUUUAAGAGAUAGUAAGAAGAAAAGAGAUUAAGACGUUAAGUUGGGAGCUUUAGACUUUGGACAUUUGAGAAGCCUACGAAAUGGACCAAAAGCUGCUUCUGUUGUCUGGUUUCCUUCCGACUUGGCCUUCUGUGGAGAAGCACUUUCUUCUGUUUUGUGGUAGAUUUUGAAUUAAAAAAAAUUCUCAAUAGGCGAGCGAUCUCCCAUUUUCUGGGAACAGCUUUGAUCCGUAUUUGCAUAUUGCAGAGGGACAAACCUGCCCCUUUCCAGUUCUCUCCGACUCCCCUUAAGAUCCUUAACCCUUAAGUGCGUUUAAAGAUCCUCUUAAACCGGGCCACCAGAGGCCUUCCCUCUGGAGUGUGAGGUCUUUGUCGUAAGGAAACAGAAAUAGAUUGUGGUCAAAAUGCGCUCAGGUAAAUCCGUCAUAAAAAGCAGUUCAGUCAGACGUUUGUGGACUGCGGCAGUGUGCAGGAUUUGACAUCAGGUGAAGAAGCCAAGAGGCAGGCCUAGGAGUGGUGAGCCAGCGCUGCAGUCCAAACCAGGCCUCCAUGGACCGGCGUCUCAGGGCCAAUUCCACAGGAAAUGCUUUUUCUUGUGCCACAUAUUGUAGUUGGAAGACAAUUUCAGGUUUUUUUUCCCCAGGGCGGCACAUUAAUAUGAGGAUAUUUGGAAUCCUUCAUGAGGGAGCACGAUUUCAGAAAUAAUGAAACAAUAAGCACGAAUCUGGUAUUAAUAAUCUGCGGGUUUUAAAUUUUAUGCCAUUAAAAGAUGUAAGGAUUAGUAAUUUCAUGUAUCCUACAAAGUAGAACACGCCUAAGGACACACGGCUAAAUGAUUCACGUGGAGCUCGAACAUCUGACAUGAGACGCUCAGGCACACGGGUUGAGUUCGUGGUGCUCACAGCCUCCAUUACGAUAAUAAGUCAUUAAUUUGAGCCCCACAAAGCCAGAUUUGAGAAUGAAUCAGGUUGAAAAGAUGUGCGGCUGAAGCUUACAUCUGUACAUUUGACAGACUUUGCUAAGAAAACUGAGAAUCGCCCAUAGCUGACGAAAGGGUGAUCAAAGAGAACACACACCACUUGAAAAGCGCCAGAUGCAGAUAAACCAUCGCGAGGCUCCGUGUAAUUCACGUAACCUUGGCAUCAGAGCAGGCUUCCCAUGGCCCGACAGAGCAACAUUUUAUUAGCUGCAGUAUACUCUAGGAAGGAUGCAAGAGCUGCCUUUCUGGUCAGGUAUCUUCUCUCCAGAGUCUCUGAGUGAACUCAGAUCUUUCUCUACCCAUUCAUCUUUUAUAAAGGUCACAACUGGAAUAAAACUAUGCGAAGAGAUCUUUUAAUGCAGGUGCUCAAGUUAAGGUGCUCCGUGGUCUUGGUUCAAGAGAGAAGGUUUUCUUUCCACAAGCAGACCAACCACUUCUGCGAGAGACCCUCCAGGCUGCAGCUGUCCAGCUCGUCCUCAGCGUCCGCCAACCCUUCUCUCCACAGCGUUGGCCUUUGCAAGUGCCUCUCUGAUUGCGAAGGAUGAAGGUGAUGAAUGUGGCUGCGACAUUUCAGAUCUUGUACUUCAAUCAAUUUACCCAUAGUCAUGCGUCACUUAACGACGAGGAUACUGCCUGAGAAAUGCGUCGAUAGGCCAUUUCGUCGCUGUGCGCACGUCAGAGUGACUUACACAAACCUAGAUGGUAUAGCCUACUACACACCAGGCUAUAUGGUACUAGUCUUAUGGGACCACGGUCAUAUAUGCAGUCCUUUGUUGACUGAAGCAUCAUUAUGCGGCCAGAGGAUCACAUAUUACUUCAGUGACUUUCAACACCAGAAAAAUCCAGAAAUUUAUAUAAAAAUUAUCAUUAUAUGCCUAGAGCCCUUGUCUUGCUGAUAGGGCUUUCUACAGCAAGUCUGAGGACAGAUUUCAGAGAAAAUCAAUCCAACUUUCAACCUAAGGAGGCCAGUGGUUGCAUCUCCUGUUACCUACUGAGCCCAAUAUCAAAUCCUAGAGAGUUGCACCCAGUCUUAGAUACAAUGCCUCUUUCCAAGCUGUUAAGGAUCUAGUUGCAGAGACAAGACAUAAAUGACUCUGCAUAGACUGACCAUAAAGGCCAUAUUUAAUACCAGGUUACAAAGACCGUUCAAAGUUAAUAACCAAAUGUACUAUGCCAAAAGACCUUUAUCCUUUUGUCAUGUUGUCCUAUUAUGUUGGACAAGAGAAUUUGAGAGGUUUUCCCUUGGAUCUACUGCCAUGGGGAAAAAAUAUUAUGCUUGCUAUUCACUUGGUGCAGUGGUUAAUUUUAUAUGUCAGUUUGACUGGGCUGAGUGAUGCCAAGAGGGCUGGUAAAACAUUAUAUCUGGGUGUGUCUGUAAAGGUAUUCGUAGAAGAGCUUAGCAUUUGAAUCGGGAGACGUGUAGAAGAUGGCCCUCACCAACAGGGUGGGCAUCAUUCCAUUCACUGAGGGCCUGACGAGAACAAAAAGGCAGAGAAAGGGCC